GAGUUUGAUCAUGGCUCAGGAUGAACGCUAGCGGCAGGCUUAACACAUGCAAGUCGAGGGGUAACAGAGGUAGCUUGCUACUUGCUGACGACCGGCGCACGGGUGCGUAACGCGUAUAGAAUCUACCUUGUACUAGGGGAUAGCCUUUGGAAACGAAGAUUAAUACCCUAUAGUAAGUAUUUAUGGCAUCAUUUAUACUUUAAAGGUUACGGUACAAGAUGACUAUGCGUCCUAUUAGUUUGUUGGUGAGGUAACGGCUCACCAAGACUUCGAUAGGUAGGGGCCCUGAGAGGGGGAUCCCCCACACUGGUACUGAGACACGGACCAGACUCCUACGGGAGGCAGCAGUGAGGAAUAUUGGACAAUGGAGGCAACUCUGAUCCAGCCAUGCCGCGUGCAGGAUGACGGCCCUAUGGGUUGUAAACUGCUUUUAUGUAGGAAGAAACAC
rnacentral:rRNA from 1 species